rnacentral:rRNA from 1 species
GAUGAACGCUGGCGGCGUGCCUAAUACAUGCAAGUCGAGCGAACAGACGAGGAGCUUGCUCCUCUGACGUUAGCGGCGGACGGGUGAGUAACACGUGGAUAACCUACCUAUAAGACUGGGAUAACUUCGGGAAACCGGAGCUAAUACCGGAUAAUAUAUUGAACCGCAUGGUUCAAUAGUGAAAGACGGUUUUGCUGUCACUUAUAGAUGGAUCCGCGCCGCAUUAGCUAGUUGGUAAGGUAACGGCUUACCAAGGCAACGAUGCGUAGCCGACCUGAGAGGGUGAUCGGCCACACUGGAAGUGAGACACGGUCCAGACGCCUACGGGAGGCAGCAGUAGGGAAUCUUCCGCAAUGGGCGAAAGCUUGACGGAGCAACGCCGCGUGAGUGAUGAAGGUCUUCGGAUCGUAAAACUCUGUUAUUAGGGAAGAACAAAUGUGUAAGUAACUAUGCACGUCUUGACGGUACCUAAUCAGAAAGCCACGGCUAACUACGUG